AUUGAACGCUGGCGGCAGGCCUAACACAUGCAAGUCGAGCGGAGCGGAGGACGGGUGAGUAAUGCCUAGGAAUCUGCCUGGAAGUGGGGGAUAACGUCCGGAAACGGGCGCUAAUACCGCAUAAUAUAAGAUGAGCAUAGGUCGGAUUAGCCAGUUGGUGGGGUAAAGGCCUACCCAGGCGGCGAUCCGUAACUGGUCUGAGAGGAUGAUCAGUCACACGUGAACUGAGACACGGUCCAGACUCCUACGGGAGGCAGCAGUGGGUAAUAUUGGACAAUGGGCGAAAGCCUGAUCCAGCCAUGCCGCUUGUGUGAAGAAGGUCUUCGGAUUUUAAAGCACUUUAAGUUGGGAGGCGUUACCAACAGAAUAAGCACCGGCUAACUUCGUGCCAGCAGCCGCGGUAAUUC
rnacentral:rRNA from 1 species